ACUCAAAUGAAUUGACGGGGGCCCGCACAAGCGGUGGAGCAUGUGGUUUAAUUCGACGCAACGCGAAGAACCUUACCUGGGCUCGAACGGCUGAUCAACGACGGUAGAAAUAUCGUUACUCCGCAAGGGGGUUCAGUCGAGGUGCUGCAUGGCUGUCGUCAGCUCGUGUCGUGAGAUGUUGGGUUAAGUCCCGCAACGAGCGCAACCCUUGCCCUGUGUUGCCAUCAUUCAGUUGGGAACUCUCAGGGGACCGCCAGCGAUAAGUUGGAGGAAGGUGGGGACGACGUCAAGUCAUCAUGGCCUUUAUGUCCAGGGCUACACACGUGCUACAAUGGCCGGUACAAUACGACGCUAACCCGCGAGGGGGAGCAAAUCGGAAAAAACCGGUCUCAGUUCGGAUCGCAGGCUGCAACUCGCCUGCGUGAAGCUGGAAUCGCUAGUAAUGCCGGAUCAGCAUGCCGGCGUGAAUACGUUCCCGGGCCUUGUACACACCGCCCGU
rnacentral:rRNA from 1 species